UCUCAGUUAAAAUAUCACGCUCACCUUUUCAGUUCUACCCAUCCUCCUUGACUUGCAUACCCAUCCCAUUUUCUCUCUCUUCAACCCUCAUUCAAACUCUAAUUUUUCUUCUUCAACAAUUCGUAUGAACAACAUAUGUAAUUUCAAAAAAACCUUAGUCGGCUUACGACUCAUGUCAAAGCCACCAAUUACAUUAGCGUUGGUCUGAUGUGGAGAUCAGCGGAGUUAUUACAAUUUCAUCUCUGCGCGAAUCACUCGAGUUCGUUGUUUUUCGAAGGAUUCUGAUGUAUUCAUCGACGUUGAUCUGAUAAUUUUGAGAAGAAAGUUACAAUUUUUUCGCGAAUCAUUAGUGUCAGAGGGGAAAAAAAGGCAACUGAAUAAUUUCAAUUAGAAUUUCUUUUGAAUUGGAUUGAAAUUCAGCAAAAGUAGUUCCACCGAGGUUCAAUGGUAUGUAAAUUUUUGAAUUAGGUCUCUUAAAUAUCCCUUUUCUUUAUUCAAUAAAAUCCCUAAAAUUUGAAUUGAAUUUUGUUGUUGUCAGUUACUAAAAAUUAGAUUUCAUGAAUAAUUUUGAAUUAAUUAAAAAGGAGUUUCAUAGUACACUGAGAUAGAUUAUUGUAGAACAUCAGAUUUGAGUAGCUAGGUGGCCAGAGUUUCGAGCGCAAGAGCAAGAAAUCGGGGCUUGAAAUUCCUAAAUCGGUGUAUAGUUGAACAAGCAAUUUGCAAGGCUGGAAAAUUUGGUUCACAACUGGUUGAAUUGACACAACUGAAGUCAUGCAAGAGCAGGAGAGUUUCGGUCUUGAAGCAAAAUGUGAAGGGCUCGUUGGAGCGCUAUCUCGUCAGGAAAUACCACCAAUUGAAGAGAAGACUGCCUCAUCUAAGCUAAAUACUCCCAAUUUUCAAAUUUUCUUCUGUCUUAACUUGUUUAUUUAUGUUUAUUUUCUGGCAUUGAAAUGAUGUUUUUUCUAUGUUUUAGGCCCUAAAAAAAUCAGUGCAACUCUUGUCCAGGGACAUCCUAAUAGUUUUGAGUCUAACACAAAGCCUGGAGGACCUGUGGGAAUAUGGUUCAGUUUCCGAUGAGAAAUCAGUUUCUUCUAGGCCAUGUGCACACAAAUCUCCAUCAGCAUCUACACAUGUUGACUUAUACAGUUCUGAUGAUGAUGGCAAACACCUUCACUAAAGGGACUUAAAAGGAAGCUCUCAACAUCUGAAGAUCCCUUAGGCAUUAGAACUCAUGUGGUUAGUCAUGAGUGCUCUUAUUUUUGCUCUUUUGAUACUACAUCAGAAUUCUAUCGAUGUAUCAAGUGCUUAGUGUAAAUUGCUACUAUCCCAUACAGAACUGUCAAAUUUGUGAAGCGGACAUAAUCGUCAAAAUUUGAAGGUGGACCAUUAUAUCAAUUAACUAACUAGCUUUUUUUAGUUAUAGAAUAUUAUUUAUUGUGAAUUGUGAGAAAUAUUUGUAAUUUACAGGCACAUCAAUUCAAUAUAAUUUACAAGAUGUCGCUUAAAGUUGGUCUUAUAUUGGUUAGAUCGAUAGUUAUUGUAUAUUAUAAAAGUUUAUUAA